rnacentral:rRNA from 1 species
UACAGAGGUCCCAAGCGUUGUUCGGAUUCACUGGGCGUAAAGGGUGCGUAGGUGGCUUUGCAAGUCUGAUGUGAAAUCUCCGGGCUUAACCCGGAAAUGGCAUUAGAAACUGUGAGGCUUGAGGCUUGGAGGGGGAACUGGAAUUCUCGGUGUAGCAGUGAAAUGCGUAGAGAUCGAGAGGAACACCAGUGGCGAAGGCGAGUUCCUGGACAAGUCCUGACACUGAGGCACGAAAGCCGGGGGAGCAAACAGG